ACCACUAAGGUAGCUUUUCUUUCUGGAGAUUGCUCUUUUGUGGAGUUUUUGUGGUGAGCCUUGACAUCAGUGAGCACCCAUCAUGACUGAAGGCCUCGGUGUUGGCUUCUACAGAUAGACAGUAAGAGACGGAAUGCAACUGCAGCAGUUCUGCUAGUACACCUAAGAGCUGAUGGUGAAGGAAGAGAGACACAGGCAGCUUUCACCAAGGAAGGUUUUCAGGAUGGUCUAAUUUUCUGACACCCUCAUAAGCAGACAUGCCACUAAUUUCAAGGAUAGCUUCAAACACAGAUGCAGGACCACACUGAACCCUCUCUCCAAGCAGAGCUGCAGAGCCCACCAGCCGCAGGAGCCUCCCUUCCUAGUUACCCCCAGCCACAUAACAGGGCUGACUGUCAUCCUCAGUACUUUCCAUCCCAGGCCUUGCGCAUAGUGCUUCAUGCAGCCCAGCAAAAGUUCACAGGCCAUGCAGCACGAAGCCCAGCAGCGUGUGAGGCUCUGUGGCCCCAGAUGCCUGCCUCAGCUCCCGAUUGCCAAUAUGUCACCACCCAAUUUCAGCUGAGGUCUAACAUACUAAUUGUCUAUUUGCAGCGCUACCAAUAGAGACAGAAUUGUCCUGUACCCAAAGAAAACAGCCAGCUUUUACAUUUUCCUUGUCUUCCAUUCCCUGCAGCCAAUGACAGUCACAAAGAUUGCCAUCACAAUGUCUAGGAAAGGCAUCCAAAAUUUCUCUGGCAUUACUACUGGCUUUAUUCAUAGCAAAUUUGAUUGAGCAAUAUUUAACAGCCACUGGAACAGCUGUUUCAAACUGCAUAGAAUUCAUAUCAAAUUGCAGCAUGGCAGGAAAAAAGACAACAUAAAUCUGUAGGGAAAGAAAAACAUUACAGUUGACCUGAUGUUACUAAAGGGCAAGGCACUCAGGUUAGGCACGUGUCCAAUAAUAAUGACAGCCAUUCCAAAGGCAUGAGCAGAAAUGUCAAUAGAGCUUGGUAUCAGUUCAGCUUAACACGACAGGAGGCCACUACACUUUUGUUUUAUAAUAGAUGUUUAUAGGCUUUCCUGUAUUUACAUAAUACCACUCAAAAUAUUAGAUGGUGGUGUAUUUAAGAAUGGCAGAAACCUACCACUUAUGGAUUAUGGAAAAUUAAAUGUUUGCAUAUUCACUGGUUGCAGUAUAGAUUUAGAAAUGUGAAUUGAAAUGUUUGUUUUAAAUAAUGCCAGAACCUCACAAAUCUGCCUUCAGUCAGCUGAAUGAAAAGCUGUCAGCAGCUUUUGUGUUUCAGGAUAUAUUAAACAUUAGUCUCUAAGUUGCUGAGAUUGAAUAUUCCUAUGAGCUCUAAGCCAGUGAGACCCAGCUACCUUGGAAUCAGGUAUAUAAGUGACUUUUCUUGUAAAGGCAGAAGCUGGGUUGCCUCACCCACAGAGGAUGCUGCUGGCAGCCUGUCCUUGAUGGUCACCAGCUCCUGGCAUGCUCUACUCCAAUGCUCCAUCAGAGCCAUAGUUGCCAUUUUACUUGGAAUGCCACCAGGUAGUGCCCAGAUACAAGAUUCACUUUAAAGCAGGGUAUGUUAAUUAAUCUGGCUGGGGGACAAGGAGAGCUUUUGAGGCUCCAGCUAUUUGGGUAUGUUCUGGUUUUAUGUAUUUGCAUGCAUGGUUGCAGCACUGGAGUCUUGCUGGUGGUUCUCUGGGUGGCAUUUGGAGUGAAGCUACAUCCUCACACAAGCUGCAAAGGAUAGCAGAAAUGUACUGCAACUUGCAACCCUGUACAAAUUGCCAAGCAUAAGUGCUGCUAGAGUUUAUAUUUUAAUGUUCACCAUGAGUUUUUCAAGAAAGUCCUGGCGCUACUCAGUAAUUCUAAGGAGAAGCGGAACCCAAGCAAAUUCUUGAGAGUCACAACAGGAGCCAACAACUUCAAGAGUUUGGUUUAACUGCCAAUAUUUCUCUCCAAUUUCUCUCAUUUUUGAAAGCAUUCUGAAACUUAGGUCCCACACUUUCUACUAUUCUUCAUCCUAUGUACUGUGUGAUCAAAUCUACAUAACUUAAUCUACAUAACUUAAUCUAAACAAAUCUACAUAACUUUGCUUAAGAAUAACAGCACAUGUACAAUAAAUUACAGAAAACACACAGAUUAUAGGCAAAAUAAAUAUUUUAUUGGUUUAAUAUACAUGUUUGUUGGGUUGGGGUUUUUUUGUCUUUUUUUUUUUUUUUUUUUUAAGAGAAAUCAGCCCUUGCAUGUCUUCCUAACAAUUAAAAAUCAAACUUUAUCAUAUAAUAUUGUUACAUUUGAAACUAUUCUUGAUUAAAGACCUUGACACAGUACAAAGAGUUAGUUGCUGGAAGUGGCAAAGGAAUAAGGACAUUCCUAGCACAGCACAAUGGGAUAUUACAUAUCCACUAAAUGUUUAUUUGACCACAUGAGGCUUCCAAUGACUUCCAAUUUUCUCCAUUGGAACACAUGUUUGCUAGGCUAACUGAAAAUAGAAUCUGUGAGGGAUAGGGAAGGAAACAAAUCUUUUUCCAUUUUCCCCACAAUACAAGCAAGGUCACUCAUCCAUUACAAGUUGCACAUCCUAAUUGCUUUUGGAAUAUGAGUAUUUUUUAUUGCAUUUUCUUAAUACAAAGCAGAAGAGAAUUUCUUGAAGUGACUGAGAGCAGUCAACACAAAGACAAAAAAAGCAAAGCUUAAAAGAAGGUACUUUUCUACAAAAUAGGCAAACAGUAAGGAAGCAAAUAAAAUUAGUUAAAAGUUGUCUUUUACAUAAAGAUAAGGCUUUCAGUGUCAGAACUUUAAGUAGUUUUAAGUAACCUCAUGUCGUUCAACCACUCUGCUAAUAGUAACCGCUCCAAGAAUUAACAGCAAUUUUUACAACAGGAAAUUUUCCUUCCUUUGAAGUGGCACUAAGUAACAGCAGUGGAAACAAUUAUUGGUUGUUUCAAGCUCUCAAAGUUUAUCAGUUAUUGCACAAUAAAUACCUCAUAGAGGUCAGUGUUUUGUUUUUUGUUGGUGGUGGUUUUCUGUGAUUUUUUUUUUUUUUUUUU